ACUAAGUUUGGUCAUUCUCAUUCGCAUUUAAACGCAUGCAUAUUGCAAAGGAGAGAGGAGAAAAAGCAUAUACAUACAUAUAUGUGUAAUAUACUACUCACAGUAAGACGCUCCAGAGCUAACCUCCAUCCGUCGCACUUAAUGACUCCGGGUAAUCUAGUCACAAAUAUACAAAUUAGAGUUUAUAAAUUUUCUAUUUCUAAUUAACAAUCAUCAAACUAUAUUUUGUUCACCGUCUCAAUUUCUAUUUCCUAGGUCCGUACCUCUACCUCAACUCUAAAUAAUUUCAUGAUGGGGUUAGUAGCUAAUCUUUAAUUUUAUUAAGUUGCAUGGUGGAGUUACUUCAAAAGUAAUGUUUGGUAGAGAUGAGGUAGAAGUGCUAACAUAGAAAUAGAAAUUGAGAAAGUUAACAAAAUAAGAAAAUAGAACAAGUUAUAUUUAGCUCAAGAAUAGACAACUUAGCUUCUCAAGUAUCGGCUUCUAACUGAUGAUCAGUUCUUCAACUUAACAUGUGCCGAGGCAAAUCUUAUGUUCUUCGAGCUCCAAUCUUCAAUCACAUACCAUUUUUAACAAAUUAGAGUAUAACAAAUUUUAUAUUUCUAAUUAACAAUCAUCAAACUAUAUUUUGUUCACUGUCCCAAUUUCUAUAUCCUAGGUCCGUACCUCUACCUCAACUCUAAAUAAUUUCAUGAUAGUGUUAGUAGCUAAUAUUUAAUUUUAUUAAGUUGCAUGGUGGAGUUACUUCAAAAGUAAUGUUUGGUAGAGAUUAUGUAGAAGUACUGACAUAGAAAUAGAAAUUGAGAUAGUUA
rnacentral:lncRNA from 1 species